AUGAAUGGUCAAACCACGAUGGGGCUCGCCGCCGCCGUGAGGCCAUGCCGCCAGCGCCUCCUCACCUCCGCCUCAGCCGCGGCCGCGAAGGCCUCUGCGAUCCGGCUCUUCCCAAGAUGCCCCCACCCGCAACACCACCACCACGGCCGACGCCUCCCGUUCCUCGUGUCGGCGGCGUCGCAUACCUCGCAGUCCGACCCGAGCACCACCCCCACCCCCACCCCCGUAACGUCCGAUCCCCGUUCCGCCGUCGCUGGCAACCUCCCCUUCUUCGACUGCGUGCUCUUCCCGGGCUCCUUCCCUCCGGAGUCCCCGCCUGUGGAGGACCCGGCGCCGCCGGCUGAUGAACGUCCGGCGUCUGCUUCACCGGUGAGAGAGGAGACGGAGACGGAUAGGGAGGCAUGGAAGCUAUUGAGGAGGGCUGUGGUGAGCUACUGCGGCGAGCCGGUCGGCACGGUGGCGGCGGAGGACCCGGAGUGUACGGAGAUGCUUAACUACGAUCAGGUCUUCAUCAGGGACUUUGUGCCCUCCGCUCUUGCCUUCCUCAUGCGCGGGGAGACCGAGAUCGUCCGCAAUUUCCUCCUCCACACCCUGCAGCUGCAGAGCUGGGAGAAAACUGUUGACUGUUACAGCCCUGGGCAAGGCUUGAUGCCAGCUAGUUUUAAGAUUAGGACCGUUCCACUUGAUGAAAACAAUGAAGCAUUUGAGGAGAUUCUGGAUCCUGACUUUGGUGAAUCAGCUAUUGGCCGUGUAGCUCCAGUUGAUUCUGGACUUUGGUGGAUUAUCUUACUGAGAGCAUACUGCAAGAUUACAGGAGACUAUUCAUUGCAAGAAAGAGUGGAUGUGCAAACCGGGAUUAAGCUGAUCUUGAGUUUGUGUUUGUCUGAUGGGUUUGACAUGUUCCCCACUUUACUGGUCACAGACGGAUCAUGCAUGAUAGACAGGAGGAUGGGGAUACACGGGCAUCCUCUUGAGAUUCAAGCUUUGUUCUAUUCUGCUCUGAGAUGCUCAAGGGAAAUGAUUGUUAUGAACGAGGGCUCAAAACACCUCCUCCGAGCCAUCAACAACAGGCUCAGUGCAUUGUCUUUUCACAUUAGGGAGUACUACUGGGUCGAUAUGAAUAAGAUAAACGAGAUCUACAGAUACAAGACAGAAGAAUACUCACAUGAUGCAACUAACAAAUUUAACAUUUAUCCCGAGCAAAUCCCUUCCUGGCUUGUUGAUUGGAUUCCUGAGAAAGGGGGUUAUCUUAUUGGAAAUCUGCAGCCAGCUCACAUGGAUUUUAGGUUCUUCUCACUUGGCAACCUUUGGGCCAUAUCUUCAUCUCUAACUACUCCAACACAAGCCGAGGGAAUACUUAGCCUUAUUGAAGAGAAAUGGGAUGAUCUCCUAGCAAAUAUGCCCGUCAAGAUCUGUUACCCUGCAAUGGAAUAUGAUGAAUGGCGCAUUAUUACAGGCAGUGACCCUAAGAACACCCCAUGGUCAUAUCAUAAUGGUGGAUCUUGGCCAACCCUACUGUGGCAGUUUACACUGGCCUCCAUCAAAAUGGGAAGACCAGAGUUGGCCCGUAGGGCCAUUGCAGUGGCCGAGGAGAAGCUCUCAGCUGACAAGUGGCCAGAAUACUAUGACACCCGGUCUGGAAGAUUCAUUGGGAAGCAGUCACGGUCAUAUCAGACAUGGACUAUUGCUGGUUUUCUGACCUCCAAGAUGUUGCUGGAAAAUCCAGAGCUAGCUUCUAUCCUGACCUGUGAUGAGGACCUUGAGCUCCUUGAAGGCUGUGCUUGCUGCCUCUCGAAGAGGAGUAGAUGCUCACGACGUGCGGCCAAAUCAGAUAUCACUGGGUAA
rnacentral:rRNA from 1 species